rnacentral:lncRNA from 1 species
AAUAUAAGAAGGCAGGAAUGUCAGGCCUCUGAGCCCAAGCCAAGCCAUCGCAUCCCCUGUGACUUGCACGUAUACGCCCAGAUGGCCUGAAGUAACUGAAGAAUCACAAAAGAAGUGAAUAUGCCCUGCCCCACCUUAACUGAUGACAUUCCACAACAAAAGAAGUGUAAAUGGCUGGUCCUUGCCUUAAGUGAUGACAUUACUUUGUGAAAGUCCUUUUCCUGGCUCAUCCUGGCUCAAAAAGCAACCCCACUGAGCACCUUGGGAUCCCCACUCCUGCCUGCCAGAGAACAAACCACCUUUGACUGUAAUUUUCCUUUACCUACCCAAAUCCUAUAAAAUGGCCCCACCCUUAUCUCCCUUCACUGACUCUCUUUUCGGACUCAGCCCGCCUGCACCCAGGUGAAAUAAACAGCCAUGUUGCUCACAGAAAGCCUGUUUGGUGGUCUCUUCACACGGACGCGCAUGAAAGUCUGACUAAAUAUUGGGAAAAAGUAAUGGAGAGAAAUGAUUGAAACCAUUGAAACCAUCAUCGCAAAAUUAUAACUGAGACGGUUACAGAGAUCUGACUUAACCAACUCCAUCUUGCUUCUACCCUCUAAGCUGUCCUUCAUUCCCGGGCAUAGGCCAAACUAACUUUGGGAGGAACUUAGUUUAUAGUUUAUAGUUUAAAAUAAAGAUGAUAACAGCCCUUUCCCAAAACAAACUUCCUCUGCGUAAGGACUAGACUGCCUUUGUAGGACUAAUAAGUUAGCUAAAAUAUUGGAAGUUAUGGUUUAGGAGUCUUGCAUCGUGGGGCUACAAGAUUCUGACCCUCCCCAAAUUGCUCCUGGGGAUAACAUCACUAUUGUAAAACCUACAAUAAGUUCUUGAGAUAUUUUGUACCCUGUACUUGAUGGAUCAACUGGCACCACCCAGACUGAUAAACUGGCUCAUCUGAUCUUGUGGUCCCCAUCCAGGAACUGACUUAGCAUUAGAGGACAGCUUCAACUCCCAAUGAUUUCAUCAUCCACCAAACCAAUCAGCAUUUCCGAUUCACUGUCCACCACUCCUCCCACACCAAAUUAUUACUAUUAUUAUUAUUUUUUGAGACGGAGUCUCUCUCUGCCGCCCGGGCUGGAGUGCAGUAGUGUGAUCUCCGCUCACUGCAAGCUCCGCCUCCCAGGUUCACGCCAUUCUCCUGCCUCAGCCUCUCGAGUAGCUGGGACCACAUGCCCCCGCCACGACGCCCAGCUAAUUUUUUUUUUUUUGUAUUUUUAGUAGAGACGGGGUUUCACCGUGUUAGCCAGGAUGGUCUCAAUCUCCUGACUUCGUGAUCCGCCCGCCUCGGCCUCCCAAAGUGCUGGAUUACAGGCGUGAGCCACCGCACCCGGCCCAAAUUACUUGAUUAUUAAAAACUCUCAUCCCCAAAUGCUUGUAGAGAAUGAUUUGCCCAUAACAAGCCCAGACUCAGACGUCAGGACUACCAGCUGCGGGAAGGAGCUACCCACUUCCAGUCUCCUCGACUCUUUCGAACAACUUGUCUAAGGAAAGGAGCUCCUCACCACAGGUCUCCCCUCCACUGACAGCUGGACACUCAUGGGGACGACCUGCCUGCAAAAAGGAGCUACCCACUUUGAGUCUCCUGAGAGCUGUUCUGUUGCUCCUUGAAGCUCUUGCUCACCCUCCAAUUGUCCAUGUACCUCAUUCUUUCUUGAUGUGCAACAAGAACUCAGGACCUGUAGAAUGGAGGGCCUUCAAGAGCUGUGACACAAACAGGGCUGAAACACUCCCCAUGUGCGCCACAUUACGGGUGAUGAGGAGAGAAGAGCUGUGGCCCUUCUGGGAUCCCAGACCUUGGGUAUCCCUGAGCCAGGGAUGUGACAUGCUAUAACCCCCUCUUUGGGGCUUUGCAAUUCCUGGUAUCUCCAAACUUUGGGGCGCCACCAUGUUCUCCAUGUCCAGACCCUGGUUCCCACAGUGGAGGCAACUUGCGGUAUGUCUGGUCCAGCCACAGCCUUUCACAGAGCUGGUGCCUGUGCCAGCACUUGGAGCUGCCCAUCCUGCUGCAGCUGGCAUGCCUGGCUGUGCACAGUGGCCGAACCCUGCACUUGCUCACUCACAUGCCCCUUACUGCGUUGUUCCUGGCCCACCCUUGGCAGGCAUGGGAUCUGGGCUGGUAAUACAAGCUGAGUGUAGCUUGCUGGGCCGAGUGGACAGAAUGAGCCCAGCAGGUGCAAGCAAAACCCAAACAGAGGCAUUAAGGACCAGCUGGUGAAGAGACACCCUGAAGAUCCUGUGACAAUAUUGUUUAUUCACUAAAUGUUUCAAACUCUUAAACAGAGAAAUGUACAUGCAAUGUUACAAUGAAUACAAAGCUAUAAAUGUGCAAGAUCAUUAAUGAAUGUAACUGUCGUGGAUUUUAAUUGAACCACUAAGUUUGCUUUACUCUUAAAUGUAUUUUGUUAUGUAAUUUUAUUAUUUAUUUGAAUGCCUAGUCCUCGAUUUUUACAAAUCAAAAGUAAACAAAGCAAACCAAACCAAACAAAAAAAGCCUACAGCAAUGCAGAAUUUGGUUUAUUCCUGCUCCAGUCACAGGUACUUGUUCUCAGUGUAAGGAGAGAGAGCUGUGUCUCUUGUCACAGAUUUUUACUUGUUACAUAAUGGGACACUGUAUUUUGUAUUAAAUAUUAAUUUUAAUUUAGAGUUUCUUAUUUGUCUCCAAUAAGAAAAGGUUUGUAUGUUUUUUAAGUUUACAUGGCUGGGUAACUAAAUUAGUCAUAUUUUGAAAUAAACAUAUUGUAUUAUAUUACAAAAUAUAUUUUACCUAAUAUUUAUUUUUAAAUGUAUAUAUUUCUUAUUCAUAUUUUAUUGCAGUUAGUAGAGCCACCUUCAAUUUUCUUCUUUGAUAAAAUGAGGGAAUGAAUUUUCAUACUUGCUUUUUUUAGAAUAUUUUGGUAAUUCAUCAUUAGGGAAUACAUUAUUGGAAUCAUCCUUUAAUUACCUGUUGUAUAUGAUGCAUCACUUUCUGUAUAUUUAUCAUACAUGAACUCUAAUGUUGAUUCACCUGGCUUGUUAUUGUGAAUCCUACUCUUCAAAACUAACUGGCUCACUCACAAAUUCUAUUUAACUAUUUUCUGCUUAAACAAUAGAAACAAGAAAUUUAUAAACCGUCCCUUUUACAAAGGAAGCAAAAAUAUAAACAAAAACAAUGUCCUACUUAUUAAAAUCAAC